rnacentral:rRNA from 1 species
UAUUGGUCAAUAGCCUAACCGGCUGAACCAGCAACUUGGAGGAAUGAAUAGGGAAAACUGGUAAAAUGUGAUGUACCUAAUAGUAUUAGUGAUUAAUAUGAAGUUAACUAAGUUAAUUAAAAUUCAAGUAGAUAUUUGAUUAUGACAUUAUUUACUUAUGUCUUGACCAAGUCACGUGCCAGCAGUCGCGGUAAUACGUGGUAGAUUAGUGUUAUUCAUCUUAAAUAGGUUUAAAGGGUACCUAGACGGUUAAUUAAGCAUAAUUGUGUACUAAUUAUUAACUAGAGUUUAAUGUAAGAAGGAUUGAGUACGGUGAGUGUAGAGAUAAAAUUCUGUCAUACCACUUAGGAACUGGUAAAGGCGAAGGCAACCUUUUAUGUAAAAACUGACGUUGA